rnacentral:rRNA from 1 species
AUUGAACGCUGGCGGCAUGCCUUACACAUGCAAGUCGAGCGGUAACAGGUCUUCGGAUGCUGACGAGUGGCGAACGGGUGAGUAAUACAUCGGAACGUGCCUAGUAGUGGGGGAUAACUACUCGAAAGAGCGGCUAAUACCGCAUGAGAUCUACGGAUGAAAGCAGGGGAUCGCAAGACCUUGUGCUACUAGAGCGGCCGAUGGCAGAUUAGGUAGUUGGUGGGAUAAAAGCUUACCAAGCCGACGAUCUGUAGCUGGUCUGAGAGGACGAUCAGCCACACUGGGACUGAGACACGGCCCAGACUCCUACGGGAGGCAGCAGUGGGGAAUUUUGGACAAUGGGCGAAAGCCUGAUCCAGCAAUGCCGCGUGCAGGAUGAAGGCCUUCGGGUUGUAAACUGCUUUUGUACGGAACGAAAAGCCCCGGGUUAAUACCCUGGGGUCAUGACGGUACCGUAAGAAUAAGCACCGGCUAAUUACGUGCCAGCAGCCGCAGUAA